UCCAUAAAUAAAUAUGUUUUGAUACAGUACUUCAUGAGGAAUUACCUGGAAGUUCAUGUGGCAUUGCAUAAGACUUGAAUAUGUGUGUAUAUAGAGCCACAAAAAAGAUCGAGAAUUAAUUAAGCAAUAGCGCCAAACUAGUAGACAAUGAAAUUGUCUAUGGAGUCUAGGAUGUGGAUUGCUCUUGCUCUUGCUUCUUGUAUCUUAUUCAUCUUUAGUACUUUUUUGGGUUCUGCGACUGCCCGUGCUCUAGACGCUCAGGGUCCUCCUGUUCAGAAUCCUGGACCCCCAGAUGUUAUUUCUAGAGGUUAAUGUCUCCACCUGUUUGAGAAACCUCUAUUACUCAAUCAAUAAUUCCUGUAGUGAAAAUGAUCACGAAAUCAAGGGCGUCGAAUAAACAUCAUAAUUGCAUAGCUAGAUUAUUGUUGUAUUUAUGUGGACGAUUAUCCUGAUCUAUCCACAUUAAAAUCUUUUUUAUUGGUGUGAUUUCUCAUAGUUCCAUGUUAUUCUUUAUCUCCAUAGUCCAUAUAUAUAAGUAUUAUACAGUUUUUUAAUUUACUAAUCUUUGUAUAAAUACAUAAGAAAUACGUGCUUAGCUUUGUAAUACAUAUUUAGUGUUGUAAUAUCACAUGUUCAAUCAAUUCUGUGUAGACACGUUUGUUUA